rnacentral:rRNA from 1 species
CCUACGGGAGGCAGCAGUGAGGAAUAUUGGUCAAUGGCCGUAAGGCUGAACCAGCCAAGUCGCGUGCAGGAAGAAGGAUCUAUGGUUUGUAAACUUCUUUUAUAGGGGAAUAAAGGUAUCCACGUGUGGCUAUUUGCAUGUACCCUAUGAAUAAGCAUCGGCUAACUCCGUGCCAGCAGCCGCGGUAAUACGGAGGAUGCGCGCGUUAUCCGGAUUUAUUGGGUUUAAAGGGUGCGUAGGUUGUUUUUUAAGUCAGCGGUGAAAGUUUGUGGCUCAACCAUAAAAUUGCCGUUGAAACUGGAAGACUUGAGUUUGUUUGAGGUAGGCGGAAUGCGUGGUGUAGCGGUGAAAUGCAUAGAUAUCACGCAGAACUCCGAUUGCGAAGGCAGCUUACUAAGCCAUAACUGACACUGAAGCACGAAAGCGUGGGGAUCAAACAGGAUUAGAUACCCUUGUAGUC